rnacentral:lncRNA from 1 species
GUAGGCUGCUUCAAGCCAUUGCCAAACCAGAGGUAAAUUAUUCAUUAUCGUUAAUUAACUAACAAAAUCUGCAAUCCUCCUUCUUAAUCUGUGCUGACUGGAAACACCAUAGCGAAUCAGCAACCACUCAAAAUAAUACAUCCCACCUGUUAAACAUCCUCCAAAUCACAGCUCACCCAGAAAACAGGACCCCUUCUGCUAGUGACGGGACAGCAGUUCAGGAAGAGUCCACUGCUAGCUAUUUCUAAAGAAGACUUUAAUAUCCUGGUGUGGCCCACAUCCCAAAACCACAGGAUAAACAAGGAGUGUCUUCCUGAACCAUUGGUUCUGCUUAGUGAUGGAGGUAAGAGCUGUGCAGAAGAGAAAGCUGGGCCUGAAAAUGCAUGUGACCUCGUCUAGGAUGGAGCCUUGGGGAAAUUCUCUGAGGAAGUGAUCACUGAGCUGACUGCUGAAGGCUGCACGGGAGACAACCAGGGGAAGAGAAAGAUGAAAAUCAUUCUGGCCAAAAUAACACCAACACUUACUGAGAGCUGACUAUGGAGCCGGCCCCUUUACACACAGUUUCUCACUGAAGCCUCAGAACAACCCUGCAGUGUAGGAUGUGGACAUCAUGGCCUCAGGCUCCGAAAGACUCAAAGAGCUAAGUGAAAGUGUUCCUUUAUCUAGUACCUUGGGGGCUUGAGCUUAUGUGGUUUUCAGCUAUGUUCCGGGAAGAAGCUCUAAGUGACAACCGCCAUGAAACCAGCUGCACUGAACCGGCCCAGGAUGGCCUAGACCACAACCACAAGACUGGCACCUGCACAGAUAGGCUGAGAGUUGUACCAAAGUAACCUUCCCUUAUUAACCUCGUAAAUUCCCCUCCUGUGGGAGGGGCAGAGCAGCCAUUUUUAGAUCAUGCGAUAUAUGUAAAAGCAUGAUUUCAAACUAUGCAUGUGUAAGCUUAUGCCCACCUCUACAUGUGAUGAUGAAACUUCCCCUCUGAAUAUUCAUUCCUACCCUAAAUAAAGGUACCCACCUCCCAUGCUUGGGGAGCUAUAGCUUUGUGAAUUAUUCCCUGUGGUCUCCAUUUUCU